AAGAGACACCGAAUGUCGUCUACAGUGUCAUCGGAGUGAUAGGUGGAGCUGUAGUUGGCUGCGUCAUCAACGCCGCAGUCGUCAUCGCGUGGAUGAAGAAGAGAAACAUAAGAAGAGAAGACAACAUUAACACACCAAACAUCUACGAUUCUGCCUCCCAUUGUGAAGACAUGGAUCACCAGUACGGUAUCGUAGAGAAGCAGUACGUCAACACUGUGGAGGGUACAGCGACUGAUACUCCAGAUUAUGUGAACACAGAUGACGACAAGUGGGACACAGCCUACUUCAACAUAGUACAUGAUGCAAACCUGCCUUGAAGGACCCACAAUAGAAGGAUUCUGUGAUGUGGAAGUACUGCGAUCAGAAUGAUGUGAAAGAUCUACUCAAUGGUUAACAUGAAACGUUCUUGAAUAUUCAAUAUUUACAAGACAAAUACUGCUAACUCUCUACAUGAUAUAUGUUCAGACAUCAUUGUUGACGCAAUGGAGGCACCAAUGUUGAUAUAAUGUUGACAUCAUUCCUGACGUAAAAUAAUUACUAUUGUUGAUGUUAUAGUGACACCAUUGUUGAUGUACUGGAGGCACCAUUAUUGACGUACAUCGCUGACUUAAUUUAGACACCAUUGUUGUAAUGUAGACACAUUUGUUGUUGUAAUGUAGACACCAUUACUGUUGUUAUGAAGACACCAUUGUAGUUGUAAUGCAGACACCAUUUUUGUUGUAAUGUAGACACCAUUGAUGUUGUAAUUUAGACGACAUUGGGGUUGUAAUGUAGACACCAUUGUUGACAUAAUGCAGAUACCAUUGUAGAUACCAUAUCACCAUAACUUUUUGCCGAUACAAUUUUUGACGUCAUGAAGAUGCCAUUGUUGACAUAAUUCAGGCACCAUUGUUGACGUAAUGAAGAUGCCAUUGUUGACAUAAUUCAGGCACCAUUGUUGACGUCAUGAAGAUGCCAUUGUUGACAUAAUUCAGGUACCAUUGUUGACGUUAUGAAGAUGACAUUGUUGACGUAAUGAAGUUGUUAAUGUUGACAUAAUGCAGGCAACAUUGUCGAUAUAAUGCAGACACCGUGGUUGACGUAAUAAAGACACCAUUCCUCA